CUUUUUGGUUGCCUGGUCGGGCAAGUUGUUUUGCCAGAAAUUUAUAAUUGCUGCACAAAAUUUUUUGCUUGUUAUGUUAUGCAUUUUGUUUUUGAUUCUUUAUGAGUAAAUGAGUUGAAAUCAACAUUUAAUUAAUCAAUCCUUCCUGCAAUCGUUUGCUUCAAAUUUUGCUAAUAUGUGAGGGAAAACUAGACCUGGCGAGAAGUGAAUUUUAUUCCGAGCAAC
rnacentral:lncRNA from 1 species